UACGGGGGGAGCAAGCGUUGUUCGGAUUUACUGGGCGUAAAGGGCGCGUAGGCGGCGCAACAAGUCACUUGUGAAAUCUCCGGGCUUAACCCGGAGCGGCCAAGUGAUACUGUCGUGCUAGAGUGCGGAAGGGGCAACUGGAAUUCUCGGUGUAGCGGUGAAAUGCGUAGAUAUCAAGAGGAACACCUGAGGUGAAGACGGGUUGCUGGGCCAACACUGACGCUGAUGCGCGAAAGCCAGGGGAGCAAACGGG
rnacentral:rRNA from 1 species